rnacentral:rRNA from 1 species
UGGGGAAUCUUGGACAAUGGGGGCAACCCUGAUCCAGCCAUGCCGCGUGAGUGAUGAAGGCCUUAGGGUCGUAAAGCUCUUUCGCCUGUGAAGAUAAUGACGGUAGCAGGUAAAGAAACCCCGGCUAACUCCGUGCCAGCAGCCGCGGUAAUACGGAGGGGGUUAGCGUUGUUCGGAAUUACUGGGCGUAAAGCGCACGUAGGCGGAUCGGAAAGUUGGGGGUGAAAUCCCGGGGGCUCAACCCCGGAACUGCCUCCAAAACUAUCGGUCUAGAGUUCGAGAGAGGUGAGUGGAAUUCCGAGUGUAGAGGUGAAAUUCGUAGAUAUUCGGAGGAACACCAGUGGCGAAGGCGGCUCACUGGCUCGAUACUGACGCUGAGGUGCGAAAGUGUGGGGAGCAAACAGGAUUAGAUACCCUGGUAGUCCACACCGUAAACGAUGAAUGCCAGUCGUCGGAUAGCAUGCUAUUCGGUGACACACCUAACGGAUUAAGCAUUCCGCCUGGGGAGUACGGUCGCAAGAUUAAAACUCAAAGGAAUU